rnacentral:rRNA from 1 species
AACGUAGGUGGCGAGCGUUAUCCGGAUUUACUGGGCGUAAAGCGUGUGCAGGCGGGGAGACAAGGGGGGGAUGAAAUUUCCCGGCUUAACCGGGAAGGGUUAUGCCAGACUGUCUCUCUGGAGUGCGAGAGAGGGGCGUGGAAUUCCGGGUGUAGUGGUGAAAUGCGUAGAGAUCCGGAGGAACACCCGUGGCGAAGGCGGCCAUCUGGACCAGCACUGACGCUGAGGCACGAAAGCGUGGGGAGCAAACAGG